rnacentral:rRNA from 1 species
UACAGAGGUCCCGAGCGUUGUUCGGAUUCAUUGGGCGUAAAGGGUGCGUAGGCGGCGGGGUAAGUUUGAUGUGAAAUCCCCAGGCUCAACCUGGGAACUGCGUCCGAUACUGGAUGGCUUGAAUCCGGGAGAGGGAUGCAGAAUUCCAGGUGUAGCGGUGAAAUGCGUAGAUAUCUGGAGGAAUACCGGUGGCGAAGGCGGCAUCCUGGACCGGCAUUGACGCUGAGGAGCGAAAGCCAGGGGAGCAAACGGG